GUCAUUAAUGAUGAUAACUCAAACAUAAAAUGAAUGAAAUGAUUAAACAUUCAUGCACUACCAUCUGAAAUGAC